rnacentral:lncRNA from 1 species
UCCCAUCAGUCCUCCUUCGGCUGUCUGAGCUGCAUUCAAGGAUCCUUAGACCAGGUUCCAACCUAGCUCUCCUGCCUAGAAUCCUGGGCCACUAGGCCCCCCAACCCACCCACAAGAGCUGCAGGCUCCACUCCUCCCUCCCUGCUCCCUGUUCCUCAUCAUGCUCUGCCCUAGGCUGCCUGCAUCCUUACAAAUGUUGAGUCCACCUGAGCCUUGACUGUGUCUUCCUGAAGGACACAAGAAUGCUCAGGGACUCGGUAACUGAAUUGAGUACCUGGGCAUGGGACUUUAUUGCAUAUGGGGCUU